UAGAAAGGAGAACAAGAAGUUUGUGGCUGAUCUUAUGGAGAGGAAAACUAUUCUGCUUUGCCUUAUGGUACUUAUGCUGCUAGGAAAUUGCAUUCACGCUGAGCAUUGCGAAACACUCAAUGUACCGGAUGUCCCUCUUUGCGGAAUGGUUUGUCGGUACUGGUGCGAGAGCACUCGGAGGCACGUCAAGAAAGCUUAUUGCAUCGGCAAGUCUCUUCUUCACAGUCACUGCGUUUGCGUCGUUUGUGACUAGAGUUGCACUCUAGCAUCAUGUCAAACAAUGGACAUUGAUGUGCAGUAAUAAAAUCUCGUGCGACAUGCAUGCGAGGACAUUGGUCAGCAAUUUUGGGUUGUUUUGUUUGAUUUGAUUUUGCCGUGCAUAAUCUUAGAUUUAUUGGUUUUGUGUUUGCUUGGACUUGCUUAUAGUAAGUUUGGAAAUAACCAUAUACAACAUGAA